rnacentral:lncRNA from 1 species
AAUCACAAAAGAAGUGAAAACGCCCUGCCCCGCCUUAACUGAUGACAUUCCACCAUUGUGAUUUGUUCCUGCCCCACCUUAGCUGAGUGAUUAACCCUGUGAAUUUCCUUCUCCUGGCUCAGAAGCUCCCCGACUGAGCACCUUGUGACCCCCGCCCCUGCCCACCAGAGAACAACCCCCUUUGACUGUAAUUUUCCAUUACCUUCCCAAAUCCUAUAAAACGGCCCCACCCCUAUCUCCCUUCGCUGACUCUCUUUUCGGACUCAGCCCGCCUGCACCCAGGUGAAAUAGACAGCCAUGUUGCUCACACAAAGCCUGUUUGCUGGUCUCUUCACACUGACUCGAGUGAAAUUUGGUGCCGUGACUAGGAUCGGGGGACCUCCCUUGGGAGAUCAAUCCCCCGUCCUCCUACACUUUGCUCUGUGAGAAAGAUCCACCUACAACCUCAGGUCCUCAGACCAACCAGCCCAAGAAACAUCUCACCAAUUUCAAAUCCGUGAUAGAUCACAACAAGAGAUCAUGAAGAGGGCAUGGCCGCCAUGUCAUUCUGGAGAGAGACAGAGUAAAACAAAGAAGGUGAUGGGUAAAGCGCAGUCGCCUGCUAUAUAUUGUCUAUUUUUGGUUUUUCACUUACCUUUUAUAUUUAUGCCUUUUAUGUACAACAGGAUUAUAAGCAGCUUGAGUCCAGUGAAUAUACCAUUUCAUUUUGCUAUCCUUCACUGCACUUAGCUUAGAGGAAAUAAUCACAGCUUAUUAUUGAUUAAUUAAUUAAUAGAUGAAUGGUGAACAGAUGAUUAUCAUCCCAAGAAAUGGGAUUUUUUUAAUUCUGGGCAACUAGGAAAGUUUUUAGCUACAGAGAAAUAUUGACAUGGGCAACAACUUCAUCUUACAGCAAAAAGUCCUUUUUUUUUUUUUUUUUUUCUUUUUGGAGACAGAGUCUUGUUCUGCAACCCAGGCUGGAGUGGAGGGCAGUGGUGUGAUCUCGGCUCACUUCAACCUCCGCCUCUUAGGUUCAAGUGAUUCUCCUGCCUCAGCCUCCCGAGUAGCUGGGACUACAGCAGCCUCUCUACAAGUCUCCUAACUUAACCUGAUGGGAAAACACUUCCUACCACUAACAGCAUCUACUUGAUUACUGAUACUUUGAUCAUGGAGUUUGGGCAUGCCACUUGAUAGAAAUUUGAAGAGCAAUUAUAUUUUUCAAAAAGAGUUUUGAAUAAUGUUAAGAUAGAUUGCAACAUGACUAUCAAUUCUUCCCUUCCCAUCAAAGGAGAGAGUCCGUUUAUCCAGCCUUUGAAUCUUGAUUAUUCAUGUGACUUGCUUCACCCAAUGUAACAUUAAUAAGCACAAUACAAGCAGAGGCUUGCCAAGAACUUGGUUUGUUUCUAAUGCUUAGAAGAAGAAUGGUGUAUGCCAUAUUUCUGCAUUUAGAACUCACGUGGAGACAUGUGUGGCCCAAUUGCUUCUCUUUCAUCUCAGGCAAUAACCAGACACGGGACUGAGGCCAUCCAUGACCAGCCAGCCCUAGCCAACACACAACACACAAGCUGAUCACAGAUGCAUGAGUAAGCCUGAGACCAGCCAAGACCAGCCUAGAAUAGAACUGCUCAGCAGCAAUAAAAACUAAAUAAAUUGUUACCUUAAGCUACUUUUAGAGCUAUUUGGAAGUGUAUUUUUGUGCAGCUAACAUUUACUAGCAGAUAAAAUGGUGAUUGUUUAUCUCUGUUUUAUUGAUGUUUUAAGGAAAUUGUUUCUAUUAAAAGGAAAUAUCUGGUCUUUGUCACGUUAAAUCAGGUUUAGCCUGAAGUUGUCUCCUUAAAUUUGCGGCACAACUCCCACCCUGCAAUACUUCAAAUUGUUUCACCUUUUUUGACAGAACCAAGGUAUAUCUUAAAUGUACUUGAUUGAUGUCUCAUGUCUCCCUAAAAUGUAUAAAACCAAACUGUGCUCUGACUACCUUGGGUACAUGUUCUGAGGGUCUCCUGAAGGCUGUGUCACAGGCCAUGGUCUUUCAUAUUUGGCUUAAAACAAAUCUCUUCAAAUAUUUUAUGUAGUUUGACUCUUUUCCUCAAUAGAACUCAUCAUUUAACCAGUUAAGUAUUUUGAGUUAGUUUGGGAUUAAACACGAGAGUUUUGACAGGGAGCUGAAACAAUAGUAGUUUCAUCAAAAGUUGAUUCUUGGUGCAUGUAAUUUUCUAUUACAGUGAACACAGAUAAUAAUGAUGCAUAUGUCUUUACCUAGAUUAGAGAAAGGAAGAGAAAAAAUAAAAAUUUUGGAAAUGAGAUAAAAAGAUAUUGAUCUCACUGAUGUUUCUGAAUCUAAGACUGAACUCAAUUAUUAGUUGUAUUUACUGCUUAUUAGAUUUACUAAGAAAGUUCUUUAAGGUACUUACAGCCCUAAAAUUAUUUGCAAUAUUCAAUAGCAAGGGACUUAAAUACAGUCCUGAUUACUCCAUCACAAAAUGCCAAAAACAAUUAGGAUCUUAAAGGAACUACCCAAAUAGGUUUAAGAUAUCACUCAGGCCAUAAAAAUGUUUUUAAAAUUCACAUCACAAAAUAGCCAAAUGACAUAUCAGAAACAAAAGCAAAAAAGUCAUCCUAAUUCAAGGCAAUUACUUUAGCAAUUCAAAAUAAAAUGUUAAAAGUGACCAAAAAACAAAUGCAAAAUAUUUUAAUGACUUUAAAUGGCUGUAUAAUUUCCUCAUCACUUCACUUGGCAGAGUUAAGAUGGCAUUUAACCUAAGUUCACAUCAUUAAAAAAAACACUGCACCAUGAUGCUUUUCUUAAUAUGCAUUCUCAAAUUAGCAUACAGAGAAAAAUGAAACUAUAGUAGAGACGUAAAUUUAAUCCCUAUUUAGGUCACUAGGCAUUUAUUAGCCCCACCACAGGUUAAUACACUUGCAUUUGCAUCUGUUUCUAAAUGCUAAUUAUCUGACCUCAGAACACUCACUUAUGGGCUUCAUUUAUUGAAAAACAAAUCCCUAUGAUUUGAUCGUAGAGUAACUUUUAAUGUCUAACUUUACGUAGUAUAUUACAGUUUUCAAAACAUUUUUAUAAAAAGUAUUUUGUUUAUUUACAGCAACUAUAUAUCAUAGAUAUUAAUGUGUAUAUUUUGCAUUUAAGCAAGUUGGAGUUCGUAAGGUUGAAUUACUUGAAAUGUACAAAUAGAUAGUAGUGAAUAUUUAAAGUACAUUUUUAAAAAUAUGACCCAGAAAAAUAGGUGGCAUUUAAGAAAUAUAAGCAUGGUAUCUAUCUUACAUGUAUAUUAGGAGUGGACAGUUUUCUAAGAUUAGAAGCAAACAGUUGUCAAGCAAGGGUUCUAAUUUUUGUAAGUCUUGUGGGAAAGAAAGAUAAUAGAGGGUUUCAUUGCAAAGAUAUAAAACUACUCUAGAUAAUUUAAGCAAAAACUAAUCUAAUAAAUUGGGUUUUCCAAAUUAUUGAAACACCUUGAGAACUAGUGCCUGGGUAGGCCUGGAGAAAUGACUCCAGGAACAGCAUUACAGAACUCACCUGCCCAGUGGUAACAGUGCCCAGAUUGCUCUUCUCCAUUAUCCAGCCAGAGUUCCAGAUCAGCCUGAAUACUUCACCUCUGGGAAGACUUUGCAGAACCUCCAGAUUUAUGCCACCUCUAUAACCUGUGUAAUAUUAUUACAAUGCAUAUUAUGUUCUAUUUCACUUACAGUCAGCCCUCCUUAUCUGUGGGUUCCACAAACAUGGAUUCAACCCACAGUAAAAUGAAAAUAUUUGGGGAAAAAAUUAAUGUUUGAGUCUGUAUUGAACACGUAGACUUUUUCUUGUCACUGUUCCCUAAACAAUACAGUAUAACAACUAUUUACAUAGUAUUUACAUUAUAUUGGGCAUUAUAAGUAAUUAAAGAUGAUUUAAGUAUAUGGAAAGAUGUAUAUAGGUUAUAUGCAAGUACUGUGCCAUUUUAUAUAAAGCACUUGAACAUCACAGAUUUUGGUAUCAAUGAGGGGUGCUGAAACCAAUUGCCCAUGGAUACCAAGAGACAGCUAUAUUUGUUUCAAUGUGUACCUCUCCUUCUAAACUCAGUUCUUAAGCAUAUAGUAUCUUUAUAGCUAUACACCUAGUGUCUAUCAGACCCUAAACUAUGGUAGGCCCUCAAUACAUUUUAUUGUUAUAGGUAGAUAGAUAGGCAUGAGUAGGGCAGGAGAGGGCUCUCCCUCCACCCACUAGAAAUGUCAAGUGAUGUUUUAAAAAUUGUCACACUGCCUCUCAGAAAAUGAUAAUUCAGCAACCGGGGAGAGACAAUCUUCUGAUGGUCCACACCUAUUAACAUUAAAGUGUUAUUAAAGGCAGACCCCAGAAAGAAGAAACUUACUGGGCAUGCACAUUAAGAGAUAAAAACGGCAAAAUAUUAUCUUCCACGUACCCACAACUGGAAAAAAGGAAGAAAGCUUCAGGUGGGCAUAUGUACUCUUCCUAAACACACUGCGCAUGCUCACUUCCCAACUGUAGAGAGGGCUCUGCACAUACGGGAAGAAUCUCGGGAAAGAGGUGAACCUAUAAAAGGCCAAGAAUCAUGGUUGAACGGGACAUUUGACCUUCUCUCUUAAACCUUCAUGUGCCUGCUUGGGUCUCUUCCAACUGCACCUUCCUUUCUUUCCUGUUCUAAGGCCUUUUUAAAUAAACUUCCACUCAUGCUCUG